UGGGGAAUUUUUGACAAUGGGGGAAACCCUGAUCCAGCAAUGCCGCGUGUGCGAAGAAGGCCUUCGGGUUGUAAAGCACUUUUGUCAGGGAAGAAAUCCUUUGGGCUAAUACCCUAGGGGGAUGACGGUACCUGAAGAAUAAGCACCGGCUAACUACGUGCCAGCAGCCGCGGUAAUACGUAGGGUGCAAGCGUUAAUCGGAAUUACUGGGCGUAAAGCGUGCGCAGGCGGUUGUGUAAGACAGGUGUGAAAUCCCCGGGCUUAACCUGGGAAUUGCAUUUGUGACUGCACGACUAGAGUGUGUCAGAGGGGGGUGGAAUUCCACGUGUAGCAGUGAAAUGCGUAGAUAUGUGGAGGAACACCAAUGGCGAAGGCAGCCCCCUGGGAUAACACUGACGCUCAUGCACGAAAGCGUGGGGAGCAAACAGGAUUAGAUACCCUGGUAGUCCACGCCCUAAACGAUGUCAACUAGUUGUUGGGGAUUUACUUCCUUGGUAACGUAGCUAACGCGUGAAGUUGACCGCCUGGGGAGUACGGCCGCAAGGUUA
rnacentral:rRNA from 1 species